rnacentral:tRNA from 1 species
GGAUCCUUAGCUCAGCUGGUUUAGAGCAUCUGCCUUACAAGCAGAGGGUCGAAGGUUCGAAUCCUUCAGGGUCCA